rnacentral:rRNA from 1 species
GAUGAACGCUGGCGGCGUGCCUAACACAUGCAAGUCGAGCGAACGGACGAGAAGCUUGCUUCUCUGAUGUUAGCGGCGGACGGGUGAGUAACACGUGGAUAACCUCCCUAUAAGACUGGGUUAACUUCGGGAAUCCGGAGCUAAUACCGGAUAAUAUUUUGAACCGCAUGGUUCAUAAGUGUAAGACGGUCUUGCUAUCGCUUAUAGAUGGAUCCGCGCUGCAUUAGCUAGUUGGUAAGGUAACGGCUUACCAAGGCAACGAUGCAUAGACGACCUGAGAGGGUAAGAGGCGACACCGGAAUUGAAACGCGGUCCGGACCACUACGAGAGGCAGCAGUCGGGGAUCGACCGGAAUGGGCGAAAGGCGGACGGAGCAACGCCGCGUGAGUGAUGGAGGUAUUCGGAUCGUGAAACUCAGUUAUUAGUGAAGAACAAAUGAGUAAGUAUCUGUGCACAUCUUGACGGUACCUAAUCAAAAAGGCACGGCUAACUACGUG